GGACAUGAGGGUGAUCUGGCUGCAAUGUCUGUCACCCCAUUGAUCACCAGGGUGGAUUUGGCUGAUCUGGCUGGCUAGACAGAUGUCUCCUUUCUCCCUCACCACUCCAUGUACAUCCCUCCCAGAGCUGUGUGGGGAGUUGAAGAGCACAACCAUUCCCAACAGAGGAGGACUGGUCUUUGGACAAUGGUAUAUAAGUAGCUGUGUUUCCCUGCUAGAACCUCCAAACAAUGCUCAAGAUUUAAUGUUAAUCAAUUCAUUUGUUGACCCAUUUAUUCACUCAACACAUAUACACCGAACACAUCAACUAUAUGUCAGGUACUAU
rnacentral:snRNA from 1 species